CUGCCCUACGGGGCGCAGCAGUGGGGAAUAUUGCACAAUGGGGGAAACCCUGAUGCAGCGACGCCGCGUGAGUGAGGAAGUAUUUCGGUAUGUAAAGCUCUAUCAGCAGGGAAGAAAAUGACGGUACCUGACUAAGAAGCCCCGGCUAACUACGUGCCAGCAGCCGCGGUAAUACGUAGGGGGCAAGCGUUAUCCGGAUUUACUGGGUGUAAAGGGAGCGUAGACGGAGGAGCAAGUCUGAUGUGAAAGGCGGGGGCCCAACCCCUGGACUGCUUUGGGAACUGUACGGCUUGGGUGCAGGAGAG
rnacentral:rRNA from 1 species